CAGUAGCCGCGGGAAAACGAAGGGGGCUAGCGUUGCUCGGAAUGACUGGGCGUAAAGGGCGCGUAGGCGGAUGGCACAGUCAGAUGUGAAAUUCCCGGGCUUAACCUGGGGGCUGCAUUUGAUACGUGUUGUCUAGAGUGAGGAAGAGGGUUGUGGAAUUCCCAGUGUAGAGGUGAAAUUCGUAGAUAUUGGGAAGAACACCGGUGGCGAAGGCGGCGACCUGGUCCAUAACUGACGCUGAGGCGCGAAAGCGUGGGGAGCAAACAGGAUUAGAUACCCGGGUAGUCCCUGUCUCUUAUAC
rnacentral:rRNA from 1 species